GUCGGAGUGCCUUUGACAUAUCAUGUCUGCCCGGCUUGGAGAAGGAGGAGGGACAAUGAACAACUUGGAGUAUGAGGAAGACCAAGGUGACCGUCCGACCUUCAACCUACAAUCUGCCUCUGUCCAGUCUUCCAGGUGAUCAUCCGGCCUUCAACGAGUUCGUCCAGCCUUUAAGGCGACAGUCCGGCCUCCAACGAAUUCGUCCAUCCUUCAAGGCUCGUCCGG
rnacentral:lncRNA from 1 species